rnacentral:miRNA from 1 species
GUAGUCCAAGAGAUCGAGACU